UGCUGCAGCCAAUGAUGCGAUUCACAUACGUCUUUACCAUAGACUGUAUAUAAUGGUAUUUACGCAGCUAAUAAACGUCAGGCGUCCUUAUGUGCAGCUACCGUUGUUGUCAUAGAUAUGAAUGAGUAGAUAGGACACGCCCCUUUGAGCUGCGUGCUACAGCGAGGCUAAGCUAGUGGGUGCAAAGUUUUAGUGCAUUCCGUUGAUGUAGACGGCGUGAAAACGGCAACAAGAAGUAUGCCGGCUCACUGUGCUGCAUACAGUUACACACUGCGUCGUACGAUUGAGACAAGGAAACUUGGAAUGAUUUUUCAUAGGUUUCCCAGAAACUAUGGGUUGAGGAGGAAUUGGAAGUUUUUCGGCUUAGACCUGGUGUCAUUCCAUCAGUGUUAAACUUCCCGGCUCAUCUUGGAAGAGUACGUGCCAGAAAGACCACAACCAAGCAGCCUUGAGAUCUUAGGCAGCGUCUCCCUCAGGUCCCUCUCUAUCUCCCCACACAUCCACCAACCACUGGAACACAUCUCCAAAGUUCUGCUGGACCAGCUCAGCUUCCCCUCAGAAGAAGUGGUGCCACCUGCCAGAUGAAGGAGCCUUUUGAGAGGCAGCUGGCAUCGUGAUUGGACUGUACUUUGGUCUGUUCCAAUCCAGCUUCAGCUCCAGAGACGGCAGGCGGGACGAGUCAACGGAGGCCUGGUGGACGAAGGCAUGCAGCUGAGUACAAUCCAGAAAACAACAGAGGAGGAGUGCAGCAGCCCAGAGCCAGAACAAACAGAGUAGUAUCAUAUGUCUCUUAGAAAACAUCAUAGUAUAGCCUUUGGUAUAAAAAAAACGCCAUCAUAUAC